UCGAUGAAGAACGCAGCGAAUUGCGAUAUGUAAUGUGAAUUGCAGAUCUACAGUGAAUCAUCGAAUCUUUGAACGCACAUUGCGCUCCUCGGUGUUCCGAGGAGCAUGCCUGUUUGAGUGUCAGUA
rnacentral:rRNA from 1 species